ACGGAAUGAUUUACCUGUGUUGUAAUACUGAAUUAAAAUAUUUUAAAUUUCUAUGAAUGUAGAUUCAAACAUAUCCCACCAUAUAACCAUGUCACGUUGUAUUUUGCAUUUUUAUAAGAUUGAUGUUUAUAAUUUUUUUAGUUUUUUUUUAAAAUCAUUAUAUUCUGUGUAAUUAAACAAUACACCGUGGAACAAUUUACUAUUGAUUUACCUUGUGGUACACCAUAUCUCCAUUUCCUUUUAAUUUUAUAUGUAAUAUUCAUGAUUUUGUGUUAUAAAAUAAU
rnacentral:lncRNA from 1 species